rnacentral:rRNA from 1 species
AUUGAACGCUGGCGGCAGGCUUAACACAUGCAAGUCGAACGGUAACAUGAAGAAGCUUGCUUCUUUGAUGACGAGUGGCGGACGGGUGAGUAAUGCUUGGGAAUCUAGCUUAUGGAGGGGGAUAACUACGGGAAACUGUAGCUAAUACCGCGUAAUAUCGAAAGAUUAAAGUGUGGGACCUUCGGGCCACAUGCCAUAGGAUGAGCCCAAGUGGGAUUAGGUAGUUGGUGAGGUAAAGGCUCACCAAGCCGACGAUCUCUAGCUGGUCUGAGAGGAUGACCAGCCACACUGGGACUGAGACACGGCCCAGACUCCUACGGGAGGCAGCAGUGGGGAAUAUUGCGCAAUGGGGGCAACCCUGACGCAGCCAUGCCGCGUGAAUGAAGAAGGCCUUCGGGUUGUAAAGUUCUUUCGGUAGCGAGGAAGGCAUUUAGUUUAAUAGACU